GCUUAAUCAAGUACGGUAACUAAAGGAGUGGGUGAACACACACUCACUUAUUAACCAGGGCAUGGAGCAUUGUGAGAUACUUUCGCAAGUCAUCCCUGUGGCCGACUGCAGAAGUUAAACAAAAUGAGCCUGAAGGCCUCACCUUUCUCGUUUCGUUUUGAUCUUUGAGGACCAGAAAAUAAAACUGGAGUGAGGAAGAGAACAAAAGGAAGAUCAACUCCUGGAAUAAAGUAUAUUAAAGGCGGUGGGGGGAGGGAGUACAUUCUGCUUCAUAUGUUGAGAGCUUUGGAAAUGAUCAAAAGUGCACUGUUCCCUGGUUUCAUGGUCUUCAGCGUCCCAGAAGAUACGGAAGAUACAGAAGAAGACUAAGGCUGCUGUAGGUUUAAAGUGAAUAAAGCACAGGUGAGUCUUUAUGUUGUUGUUGUUUAGUCGUUUAGUCAUGUCCGACUCUUCGUGACCCCAUGGACCAGAGCAUGCCAGGCACUUCUGUCUUCCACUGCCACCCACAGUUUGGUCAAACUCAUCCUGGUAGCUUCGAGAACACUGUCCAACCAUCUCGUCCUUCGUCGUCCCCUUCUCCUUGUGCCCUCAAUCUUUCCCAACAUCAAGGUCUUUUCCAGGGAGUCUUCUCUUCUCAUGAGGUGGCCAAAGUAUUGGAGCCUCAGCUUCACGAUCUGUCCUUCCAGUGAGCACUCAGGGCUGAUUUCCUUCAGAAUGGAGAGGUUUGAUCUUCUUGCAGUCCAUGGAGCUCUCAAGAGUCUCCUCCAGCACCAUGAUUCAAAAGCAUCAAUUCUUUGGCGAUCAGCCUUCUUUAUGGUCCAUCUCUCACUUCCAUACAUCACUACUGGGAAAACCAUAGCUUUAACUAUACAGACCUUUGUUGGCAAGGUGAUGUCUCUGCUUUUUAAGAUGCUGUCUAGGUUUGUCAUUGCUUUCCUCCCAAGGAGCAGGCGUCUUUUAAUUUCGUGACUACUGUCACCAUCUGCAGUGAUCUUUAUAUCCACAGGUAAAAAUAAAGGAUCUGAAUCUGUGUUAGAGCUUGCAGAUACAAAACCAAGACAUAGUUUGGGAUCCAAAGAGGUCCAUAUGUAUGAAGCUAACACACUUCCAUGAAUGCAUGAGGAGUUUUCUACCUGCACUACUAGGACCAAAUUGGACAUGACAUCUAUCACCCAACUACAGCUCCCAUACAUGAGUUAUUUGAUGACAGAAGCCUUUCCAAAUGCCAGUGGAGUCUGGGAGCCUGAGAUUAUCACUGCCAGCCCCUCAUCUUCCUGGGCAUCUGCUGGGUCACUGCUCACAGACCAGAAGCCCACAGCGCCCUUAGCAAUUCCUGUUAGCAACAGUCUGUCUGAGCCCUGGCAAGCACGGAGGGCAGAGCAAGGCAGAAAAACUGGACUAUCCAGAACCAAAGCAUGGACAAAGAGGGCUCCAGGGCAAAAAUAGAACAUGUACAAGCUAAUAAUGAAAGUCAGGGUUUUGCCAGCAAGCAGAAGCGGCACAUCCCAUUUUACAGCUUAAAAAGGUAAAGGGACCCCUGACCAUUAGGUCCAGUCGUGGCCAACUCUGGGGUUGCAGUGCUCAUCUCACUUUAUUGGCCGAGGGAGCCGGCGUACAGCUUCUGGGUCAUGUGGCCAGCAUGACUAAGCCGCUUCUGGCGAACCAGAGCAGCGCACGGAAACGCCAUUUACCUUCCCGCCAGAGCGGUACCUAUUUAUCUACUUGCACUUUGACGUGCUUUCGAACUGCUAGGUGGGCAGGAGCAGGGACCGAGCAACGGGAGCUCACCCCGUCACGGGGAUUCAAACUGCCGACCUUCUGAUCAGCAAGUCCUAGGCUCUGUGGUUUAACCCACAGCGCCACCCACGCUUAGGGCUUAGAGCUGUACAAAAGGGAGAAAUGUCCCAAGGCAUCACAUUGCCAUGAUAAGAAUGAGUUUUUCCUGACAAAAUGCUCUCUGCAUAACUGUUGAUAUUAUUCUCUCCUGCAUCUAGUCAGUCAAGGUGUCACUCCAAUACAGCUGGCCUUAUUUUCUUUGUGGAAUAAUAACUAAUAACAUUUGGGCCUGCCUAUGAUCCCAUCAUAUCACUGUUUAAAUAUUCUCUUUUGUCCUUUUCUUUUUGGAAGGCUUGCUUUGCAAUCAGGCUUGGGAAGCAUAUGCUAUUAAUUAAGUAAUUUUGCAAAUUUAGAAAUACAAAUUAUAUUGUUUUCAAGGCAAAUAAUGGCCUACCAAUUAUUCUGCCAACGGGAGUGACUUGUGGUCCUUGCUAAAUCUUUUCCCUUUGGCCAUUGUUUUCUUAGUUAUUAAGCAAAGAUACAGUUGGUCCUUUUGAUUAGAAAUCUUUUGGCUGGAAUGAUUGCUUGGGCUACAACAAAACCUUAAACUCAAUAUCCUUCUGAAAUCCCUUUGAAAUCAAAUCUAACCCAGCCGCCCUCCCUUUUAGGGAAACAUUUAUGCAAUUGUGUGAAUGUCAUUUUUCGGCGCCAAGGUUUUUAAAAUGAGACUGAAGGCCAAAGGGUUGUGCCUCUUUCUAAUGCACAGCUUAACAAAAGAUCUGUCCCUGCCAUUAACCUUUACAAAUGAAUUGGUGUUAGGCACUUUUCAGUGCUGAAUAUGGCUAUAAAAUCCAGAGGUCUUUCUCGUACCAUUUUCUUUAAGAAGAAAAGGCUGAUUCCAGUACGUUUCCGAGCACAAUUCAAAGUGUUGGUGCUGACCUUUAAAGCCCUAAACGGCCUCGGUCCACUAUACCUGAAGGAGCGUCUCCACUUCCAUCGUUCUGCAACUGAGGUCCAGCGCCGAGGGCCUUCUGGUGGUUCCCUCAUUGCGAGAAGCCAAGCUACAGGGAACCAAGCAGAGGGCCUUCUCAGUGGUGGCACCCGCCCUGUGGAACACCCUCCCACCAGAUGUCAAAGAGAAAAACAACUACCAGACUUUUAGAAGACAUCUGAAGGCAACCCUGUUUAGGGAAGCUUUUAAUGUUUAAUAGACUAUUGUAUUUUAAUACUUUGUUGGGAGCCGCCCAGAGUGGCUGGGGAAACCCAGCCAGAUGGGUGGGGUAUAAAUAAUAAAUAAUAAAUUAUUAUUAUAUUAUUAUUAUUCCAAGAGUCAUGUGAAGGCUUUGCUUCAGCAUUCCUGACUAAGUAGAAAACUUUUCCAAUACCGCAAUUCCAAUCAAUACAAGGGAAUUGACACGCAAGUGUGUUCUGUUAACCUUCUCCCAGCUGGUACCCACUUCAGAUGCUACUGAAUUUUCCUCAGCCAUGACUCCCUGCUGGCUGAGGAUGAUGGGCACUGGAGUCCAGCAACAUCUGAAGGAUGGAGAAGCAGUUAAACACUUUGGCCGGGAUCCAAUACAGAAUGAGAGGAUAUCACUGAGCUUUCCCACCACCUCCAGAUCCUGGCAGGCCUUCAAAAUUUUGCUAUUUGAAAUUCACAUUUUUAUAAUGCUGUGAGCUUUAGAACACAUUUUUCGAACACAAAAUGUUAGUACUUCUGGCUACGCUGAACAGUUGGUGUUUUGCCACUUCAGUGUUUGGGAAAUCGGUGAUUCACAACGCAAUCCUAUGCACAUUGCCUCGGAAGCAAAUGAAAUCUGUGGAUUAAUAAAAAUUAUAGAUUUUAUAGAACUGUAGGGCAGAGCAUUGCAUUGCAUUCUGGUUAAAUUCCAAGCUGAUUUCAGAAAUCACUUAUUUUGACCAUUGGAUAGAAAUCCAAAAAAAUGAAAAGCUACAAUAUAAAUAAAGCCAACUGAAAAUUUGGCAAGCUUCUCGUGGAAAUUCUGCCCCAGCAUGGGUCUGAGAUGGGAGAGGAGGAGGGAUUGCAAAGUAAUCGUCUGCCCACAUCCAGCAGAGAGAUCACACCUCGAACCGCCUCGAACCAACGGAGGAGAGGAUUUUGGCAAGUCAAAUUAAGAAGAGCGGGGGUUUCAUUUCUUGUUUCUGAAUCAUGAAGUCAAGGCCUUUAUUGUCAAUUAAGCCUUUGUCUCCUGACAGGAUGUGGCACCACUCACACAGACCCACUGCAGUGAGAGAG